rnacentral:rRNA from 1 species
GACGGAGGAUGCAAGUGUUAUCCGGAAUCACUGGGCGUAAAGCGUCUGUAGGUGGUCAAAUAAGUCAACUGUUAAAUCUUGAGGCUCAACCUCAAAAUCGCAGUCGAAACUAUUAGACUAGAGUAUAGUAGGGGUAAAGGGAAUUUCCAGUGGAGCGGUGAAAUGCGUAGAGAUUGGAAAGAACACCGACGGCGAAGGCACUUUACUGGGCUAUUACUAACACUCAGAGACGAAAGCUAGGGUAGCAAUGGG